UGGGGAAUCUUGGACAAUGGGGGCAACCCUGAUCCAGCCAUGCCGCGUGAGUGAUGAAGGCCUUAGGGUCGUAAAGCUCUUUCGCCUGUGAAGAUAAUGACGGUAGCCGGAGAAGAAGCCCCGGCUAACUCCGUGCCAGCAGCCGCGGUAAUACGGAGGGGGCUAGCGUUGUUCGGAAUUACUGGGCGUAAAGCGCGCGUAGGCGGACUGAUCAGUCAGGGGUGAAAUCCCGGGGCUCAACCCCGGAACUGCCUUUGAUACUGUCAGUCUUGAGUCCGGAAGAGGCGAGUGGAAUACCGAGUGUAGAGGUGAAAUUCGUAGAUAUUUUGGAGGAACACCAGUGGCGAAGGCGGCUCACUGGCUCGAUACUGACGCUGAGGUGCGAAAGUGUGGGGAGCAAACAGGAUUAGAUACCCUGGUAGUCCACACCGUAAACGAUGAAUGCCAGUCGUCGGGUAGCAUGCUAUUCGGUGACACACCUAACGGAUUAAGCAUUCCGCCUGGGAGUACGGUCGCAAGAUUAAAAGCUCAAAUGAAUUGACGG
rnacentral:rRNA from 1 species